rnacentral:rRNA from 1 species
UACAGAGGUCUCAAGCGUUGUUCGGAUUCAUUGGGCGUAAAGGGUGCGUAGGCGGCGGGGCAAGUCUGAUGUGAAAUCCCGGGGCUCAACCCCGGAACUGCACUGGAUACUGCCCUGCUAGAGAUCUGGAGAGGAAACUGGAAUUUACGGUGUAGCAGUGAAAUGCGUAGAUAUCGUAAGGAAGGCCAGUGGCGAAGGCGAGUUUCUGGACAGAUUCUGACGCUGAGGCACGAAGGCCAGGGGAGCAAACGGG